rnacentral:rRNA from 1 species
GAUGAACGCUGGCGGCGUGCCUAAUACAUGCAAGUCGAGCGAACAGACGAGGAGCUUGCUCCUCUGACGUUAGCGGCGGACGGGUGAGUAACACGUGGAUAACCUACCUAUAAGACUGGGAUAACUUCGGGAAACCGGAGCUAAUACCGGAUAAUAUAUUUAACCGCAUGGUUCAAUAGUGAAAGACGGUUUUGCUGUCACUUAUAGAUGGAUCCGCGCCGCAUUAGCUAGUUGGUAAGGUAACGGCUUACCAAGGCAACGAUGCGUAGCCGACCUGAGAGGGUGAUAGGCCACACUGGAACUGAGACACGGUCCAGACUCCUACGGGAGGCAGCAGUAGGGAAUCUUCCGCAAUGGGCGAAAGCCUGACGGAGCAACGCCGCGUGAGUGAUGAAGGUCUUCGGAUCGUAAAACUCUGUUAUUAGGGAAGAACAAAUGUGUAAGUAACUAUGCACGUCUUGACGGUACCUAAUCAGAAAGCCACGGCUAAAUACGUG